rfam:Gossypium hirsutum cultivar TM-1 chromosome 10, whole genome shotgun sequence
UGUUAAAAAUUUCAUCCCUUUGUACUGUUAAAAACUAGCGUUGAUGACAGAAUAACAAGACAGUGAUGCUUGGCAUGCCACGUGUACCUCAUGCUAACUUAUAAGGACCAAUUUUUAAUAGUAGAAUUGGAUGAAAUUUUUAAAA